GACGGAGGGUGCUAGCGUUUUUCGGAAUCACUGGGCGUAAAGGGCGCGUAGGCGGCCUGGAAAGUCAGAUGUGAAAGCCCGGGGCUCAACCCCGGAAUUGCAUUUGAGACUCCCUGGCUGGAGGUCGAGAGAGGAGAGUGGAAUACCCAGUGUAGAGGUGAAAUUCGUAGAUAUUGGGUGGAACACCAGUGGCGAAAGCGGCUCUCUGGCUCGAACCUGACGCUGAGGCACGAAAGCGUGGGGAGCAAACAGG
rnacentral:rRNA from 1 species